AGCAGUAGCCGCGGUAAUACGUAGGUGGCAAGCGUUGUCCGGAAUUAUUGGGCGUAAAGGGCUCGCAGGCGGUUUCUUAAGUCUGAUGUGAAAGCCCCCGGCUCAACCGGGGAGGGUCAUUGGAAACUGGGAAACUUGAGUGCAGAAGAGGAGAGUGGAAUUCCACGUGUAGCGGUGAAAUGCGUAGAGAUGUGGAGGAACACCAGUGGCGAAGGCGACUCUCUGGUCUGUAACUGACGCUGAGGAGCGAAAGCGUGGGGAGCGAACAGGAUUAGAUACCCCCGUAGUCCCUGUCUCUUAUAC
rnacentral:rRNA from 1 species